UCCCUGCCCUCAAGGAGCUCACAGUCGAAUGG
ensembl:miRNA